AGAGACAGCAGCCGCCGCGGUAAAACAGAGGGUGCAAGCGUUAAUCGGAAUUACUGGGCGUAAAGCGCGCGUAGGUGGUUUGUUAAGUUGGAUGUGAAAGCCCCGGGCUCAACCUGGGAACUGCAUCCAAAACUGGCAAGCUAGAGUACGGUAGAGGGUGGUGGAAUUUCCUGUGUAGCGGUGAAAUGCGUAGAUAUAGGAAGGAACACCAGUGGCGAAUGCGACCACCUGGACUGAUACUGACACUGAGGUGCGAAAGCGUGGGGAGCAAACAGGAUUAGAUACCCCGGUAGUCCCUGUCUCUUAUAC
rnacentral:rRNA from 1 species